rnacentral:tRNA from 1 species
AAUUUAAUGGCAAUUACUAAGCAUUGCAUACUCAUAAAAAUGAACCUGGUAGGACUCAUAAUCGAUUGGUCCCCAGUUCAAGUCUGGGAGGGGCCACCA